UACAGAGGUCCCAAGCGUUGUUCGGAUUCACGGGGCGUAAAGGGUGCGUAGGCGGUCGAGUAAGUCUGACGUGAAAUCUCCGGGCCUAACCCGGAAACUGCGUUGGAAACUACUUGGCUAGAGGAAUGGAGGGGAGACUGGAAUACUUGGUGUAGCAGUGAAAUGCGUAGAUAUCAAGUGGAACACCAGUGGCGAAGGCGAGUCUCUGGACAUUACCUGACGCUGAGGCACGAAAGCCAGGGGAGCAAACGGG
rnacentral:rRNA from 1 species